UGGGGAAUAUUGCACAAUGGGCGAAAGCCUGAUGCAGCGACGCCGCGUGAGGGAUGACGGCCUUCGGGUUGUAAACCUCUUUCAGCAGGGAAGAAGCGAAAGUGACGGUACCUGCAGAAGAAGCGCCGGCUAACUACGUGCCAGCAGCCGCGGUAAUACGUAGGGCGCAAGCGUUGUCCGGAAUUAUUGGGCGUAAAGAGCUCGUAGGCGGUUAGUCGCGUCUGCUGUGAAAACUCGAGGCUCAACCUCGGGCUUGCAGUGGGUACGGGCUGACUAGAGUGCGGUAGGGGUGACUGGAAUUCCUGGUGUAGCGGUGGAAUGCGCAGAUAUCAGGAGGAACACCGAUGGCGAAGGCAGGUCACUGGGCCGCAACUGACGCUGAGGAGCGAAAGCAUGGGGAGCGAACAGGAUUAGAUAGCCCUGGUAGUCCAUGCCGUAAACGUUGGGCACUAGGUGUGGGUCCAUUCCACGGAUUCCGUGCCGCAGCAAAGCGCAUUAAGUGCCCCGCCUGGGGAGUACGGCCGCAAGGCUAAAACUCAAAGGAAUUGACGGGGUCAUAGCUGUUUCCU
rnacentral:rRNA from 1 species